rnacentral:misc_RNA from 1 species
UUGAAAUAAACCUGAUGAGUUGCUGCUGGUUCUCUAGGGAGCAUGUGCACACUUGUCAUCUUUAUAUUUCCACCUGUGAACCUCUUGUAGACCUGGAUAUCUCUCUGAAAUGGUCUAGCAGCCAAUUCGGGUUUGAGGAUUGAUUUUUUUCUUUCCUUAAAUUUUCAGGUCUAUGUUUUUCAUAUACCCCAUGUAUGUUUAUAGAAUGUAAUAAGCGGGCCUUUGUGCCUAUAAACUCAUA